AAGGCAGGAGAAAAACCCUAAAUAAUCAUAUCAAAAAUCGUUGUGGAUUACCAUCAAGAAACAACAACUUUGCUGAAAAGUAAAUAAAUUCUAAGGAGCCAGAGUGACAAUGGAGACAAAGCUGAACGGAACCUUAAGUAGUGUUGAAAUUAAAUCAUUCACAACAGUAGAAUCAAAUUACCUUCCAAGUUUGGUAAAGAAGAAUGUUGGAUUUUAUGCGCAAAAUUAAAGAGAUGAAAAACGGAAAUCAACACAAGAAUUUUACGUGGUUCGGCGAUGUGCCUACGUCCACGAGAGCGAAGUGGAGAUUUCUUUAUUCAAUUGUGGAAAAAUAGGGUUACAACAUAUUAUUUAUACUAACCCUAACCUGGGCCCAUAAAAGACUUUAAGGCCCGUACAGAAAAUACUCCUGUACCGUACCGCGAGGGUGUUGCCCCCGCACCCCCAACCCAUUCAACGUCCCUAACAACCAGACAGUGAAUUAAACCCGCGCAAGGCUGAUGCCAUCACUCCGCUCCGCGCCGGCAUCGGCCCAUUUGAUCCAGGGCCUGUGUUCCACUCUAUAUGAGCCACAUGCACAACAAAGAAGAUAAAUUGUCCCUGUAGAAAUCACUGCAACACAAGAUAGAUUGGUGCCGAGGGAAACCCUUGGGGCUGUCUUGCCAGUUUUUUUCCAUUUAUUUUGACUGUUUUUGCAGUGACACUUUUUAUGCUAGGUCGGGAAAACCAAUGCUUGUUAGUUUUUUAGGGCACUGUGUUGUAAUUUGAGUCGUAUUUCUAAACUCACCAAAUUGGUGGUUUGCGGCCUUCUUCUAAUUUGAUCCUCUAUAAUAAUUAUUUCCAAAUCUAACCUAAAAAGGAAUGAAGCUUGGACAAAUUUCUAGGACUGAUUUCUAUAAUCAAACAGCUUUCAUAUCAGUGUUCAUAAUUCAUCAUAAACUGGCACUUAUAUUAAUUAUUCGUUUAGGCUAGAUAACAUGAAGACAAUGUGGGAUUGAACAACAUGAACCCAGUACCUGAUAUAAUGUGUUCUUGUCUUUUUUAUGAGUUUCAGUAACAAUAUCACGAUUACUUUACUUACAGCCAACAGAAAAGAGGAGCAAAUAUAUAUGUAUGUAUGAUUAUAUUUUAAUAGACAAUGCUAAAAAUAACAUCAUGUUUCAAGUUUCUGCUGAUAAACUAAGAGUAUAAUUCAAUGCUAUAAAAAUCAUCAGUUCAAACUAAGAGUACAAUUAUUAUAUGACAAAUAAACACCGAAAUUGUUAAACUAUUUCUGAUGUCAAUACCUAUAGAUUUUAAAAUAGGGUCUAAGGUCUAAAAAUACAACAGAAAUAUAGCAGCACCCUGUCCUUCACAAUAUAAAGAAACCCUCGUCUUCCAUAAACAGAACACAAUCAACUAACCAUAUAAAUGAGUAAACAGACACAUAAACAUUACACAUGUAUACACGCUUACACAGAAGUAAAACGAUAAAAAAUUAUAAAUUUAUGAAAUUGUGAUUAAAAAAAAAAAAAAAACCUCCUGAUUUUGAUAUCAAAA
rnacentral:lncRNA from 1 species